rnacentral:rRNA from 1 species
CACGCCGUAAACGAUGAAUGCUAGGUGUUGGGGGUCAAACCUCGGUGCCGAAGUUAACACAUUAAGCAUUCCGCCUGGGGAGUACGGUGGCAACACUGAAACUCAAAGGAAUUGACGGGGACCCGCACAAGCAGCGGAGCAUGUGGUUUAAUUCGAUGAAACGCGAAGAACCUUACCAGGGCUUGACAUAUAUGCGCGAGCACUAGAGAUAGUGGUUUCUCUUCGGAGACGUAUAUACAGGUGG